UGCCACAUGUUCAGGCAAUAAAUUGGUUGUAACAGAGCUGCUUCCUGCACUCUGCUGAGUAGAAGUAUUCCAACUGAGACAAUAACUGGCAAAAUAAGAUUGACAAACUCUGGUCUCCAUUCACUGAUAAAGUUACCUGAAUCUCAGUUUAAGACUACAGUAUGGUUACCAGGAUUUCUCAAGUACUUCCGCAAUGCUGCUCCGCUCAGGCCGCCAAAAGCCGUACAAAGUACCUAGCAGGAGAAGGCAAUCUGUUAAAUAUCUACUGAAGACUGGCAAAGCAGCUCCAGAAAAGUCAGAUAUCGCAUGGUUAAGCGUGUUCACAAGCAAUGACUCAACAGUUUGUGGUAAGACUCGGAUGACUGAAGUGGAAAGAAAAUUAUCUCAGGAAAGUGCUAAAAAUCUGGUGAUCCUCACGCAGAGAUCAAAGCUUAAUGAAUUUGUCCUGUUGUGCAAGGGUGAAAAGCAGCUCUCUCUAAAGGUCUUAAAAGCACGCUGUUCAAAACCAGAUUAUGCUAAAGUGAAAAGAUGCAACACGAAAAUAUGCAAGCAUGAAGAUCCUGACUUCGAACAGCUGAGUGAAGACAAUCUCUUUUUCAUCAUGCAUUGCCAAGGAGAUUCAGUGAAGUUCCAAUGCUAUGAAGACACAAGUUACUAUCUGCAUGUGAAUGAGGACUCACUUGACAUACGCAAGCCAGAAGACACAGAACCUGAUGGGGAGAAAAAUUUUUACUUCAGGGUGUCAUAUUUGUAGGAAAAGUAAUUUGUCUACCUUUCAGUGGCCUAAGUGUCCAUAAAACUCCUAUAAUAAGCUAACAGAAAAGAUUGAGAUCAUAUAGAACUAAUCUCUAUUUUGCCUUUUUUAUGACUUUUUUUUACCAUCUUGAGUCACAAUUUUCCAUUUUAUGAGUGACAUCCUUUAGUUCUGUUCUGUACAAUAGGAAGAGAAAAUGGUUAAGUUUGGAAAGCAAAGUCUGCUGGUAUUUUAUCUGCACAAUUAUUGUUUUGAGUAGCUGAGUUCUUCCUGAAGGGGAAAAAUAAACAGAGCUUAUCUCAAAAACA
rnacentral:lncRNA from 1 species